GACGGAGGAUGCAAGCGUUAUCCGGAAUCAUUGGGCGUAAAGCGCACGUAGGCGGUCUGUUAUGUCGGAUGUGAAAGCCCUUGGCUUAACUGAGGAAGUGCAUCCGAAACUGGCAGGCUAGAGUACUAAAGAGGGUCGCGGAAUUCCCGGUGUAGAGGUGAAAUUCGUAGAUAUCGGGAGGAACACCGGUGGCGAAGGCGGCGACCUGGGUAGAUACUGACGCUGAGGUGCGAAAGCGUGGGGAGCAAACAGG
rnacentral:rRNA from 1 species